rnacentral:piRNA from 1 species
UCUUUGACUGGCAAUCCGUUGACCAACGU